AUGUUGGCGAGAACCAAGUGCUUAUGGAGGAAUCAGUUCUCCAAAAUAAGAAAAAAUAAAGGGGGCUUACAGGAAGAGAAUCGCUUUGUCCACUGGUCCAGGCAGGCCAAAAUGCACAAUAUAGUAAGCUUCAGGCCCGCAAACCACGCAAAUACUUUAUUUGCCUCCAAGGGAAACCACCCAAUAUUUAACUUCAGCCAAAACAAUGCCAGGAUAACUCCAGCCAAAAGCGCGCCCCUCGUUGUCACCGUGGCAUCUCAACCUUCGAGAUUCCGAGCGAAGACUUUAAGCCGUGUUCACUUACACUUCCCUCGUCACACACAGUCCAUCAAGUCCAUGGCGAUGAGGAGGAACAAGGUUCACGAGUUCGAGGCCGAUGUGCCCGCCGCCGAGCUAUGGGGGCUCUACGGCACGCUCCGUGCGGCCGAGCUGCUGCCAGAGCUUCUCCCACAGGUGCUCGCCAAGAUACAGCUCGUGAGCGGCGACGGCGACGUCGGCACCAUCUUGGAGCUCACAUUUGCUCCAGGGAUCCCUGGCCUGGAGACAUACAGGGAGAAAUUCAUCAAGGUUGACAAUGAGAACUACAUCAAGGAGGCGCAGACGAUCGACGGAGACAUCCUGAAGCUCGGGUUCCUCUAUUACAUGGUCAGGUUCGAGAUCAUCGCCAAAGGACCCAGUUCUUCAGUGAUAAGAUCGACCAUUGUGUAUGAGAUAAAUGAGGAAACUCACCCCGGGCUUGAAGCUAUGGUCAGCACCGGACCUCUGGCUGCAACUGCUGAGAAAUUUGCAGGGUACCUCAAGGAGCAGAAGAUCCCUCAGAGCAGUUAA
rnacentral:rRNA from 1 species